rnacentral:rRNA from 1 species
CCGGAGGAAGGUGGGGAUGACGUCAAAUCAUCAUGCCCCUUAUGAUUUGGGCUACACACGUGCUACAAUGGACAAUACAAAGGGCAGCGAAACCGUGAGGUCAAGCAAAUCCCAUAAAGUUGUUCUCAGUUCGGAUUGUAGUCUGCAACUCGACUACAUGAAGCUGGAAUCGCUAGUAAUCGUAGAUCAGCAUGCUACGGUGAAUACGUUCCCGGGUCUUGUACACACCGCCCGUCACACCACGAGAGUUUGUAACACCCGAAGCCGGUGGAGUAACCUUUUAGGAGCUAGCCGUCGAAGGUGGGACAAAUGAUUGGGGUGAAGUCGUAACAAGGUAGCCGUAUCGGAAGGUGCGGCUGGAUCACCUCCUUU